rnacentral:rRNA from 1 species
UACGUAGGGUGCAAGCGUUGUCCGGAAUUAUUGGGCGUAAAGAGCUCGUAGGCGGUCUGUCACGUCGGAUGUGAAAACUCGGGGCUCAAUCCCGAGCCUGCAUACGAUACGGGCAGACUUGAGUUCGGCAGGGGAGACUGGAAUUCCUGGUGUAGCGGUGAAAUGCGCAGAUAUCAGGAGGAACACCGGUGGCGAAGGCGGGUCUCUGGGCCGAUACUGACGCUGAGGAGCGAAAGCGUGGGGAGCGAACAGG